CCUACGGGUGGCAGCAGUGGGGAAUAUUGGGCACUGGGCGCAAGCCUGACCCAGCAACGCCGCGUGAAGGAAGAAGGCUUUCGGGUUGUAAACUUCUUUUCUCAGUGACGCAGACAGUGACGGUACCUGAGGAGUACGCCACGGCUAACUACGUGCCAGCAGCCGCGGGAAUACGUAGGUGGCAAGAGUUAUCCGGAUUUAUGGGGUGUAAAGGGCGUGUAGGCGGGGGCGCAAGUCAGAUGGGAAAACUCAGGGCUCAACCCUGAGCCUGCAUUUGAAACUGGGGUUCUUGAGUGAUGGAGAGGCAAUCGGAAGUCCGUGUGGAGCGGUGAAAUGCGUAGAUAUACGGAGGAACACCAGUGGCGAAGGCGGAUUGCUGGACAGUAACUGACGCUGAGGCGCGAAAGCGUGGGGAGCAAACAGGAUUAGAUACCCGGGUAGUC
rnacentral:rRNA from 1 species